AUGAACGCUGGCGGCGUGCCUAAUACCUGCAAGUCGCGCGAACAGACGAGGAGCUUGCUCCUCUGACGUUAGCGGCGGACGGGUGAGUAACACGUGGAUAACCUACCUAUAAGACUGGGAUAACUUCGGGAAACCGGAGCUAAUACCGGAUAAUAUAUUGAACCGCAUGGUUCAAUAGUGAAAGACGGUUUUGCUGUCACUUAUAGAUGGAUCCGCGCCGCAUUAGCUAGUUGGUAAGGUAACGGCUUACCAAGGCAACGAUGCGUAGCGGACCUGAGAGGGUGAUCGGCCACACUGGAACUGAGACACGGUCCAGACUCCUACGGGAGGCAGCAGUAGGGAAUCUUCCGCAAUGGGCGAAAGCCUGACGGAGCAACGCCGCGUGAGUGAUGAAGGUCUUCGGAUCGUAAAACUCUGUUAUUAGGGAAGAACAAAUGUGUAAGUAACUAUGCACGUCUUGACGGUACCUAAUCAGAAAGCCACGGCUAACUACGUG
rnacentral:rRNA from 1 species